rnacentral:rRNA from 1 species
AAUAUUGCACAAUGGAGGAAACUCUGAUGCAGCGACGCCGCGUGAGCGAUGAAGGCUUUCGAGUCGUAAAGCUCUGUCCUAGGGGACGAUAAUGACGGUACCCUAGGAGGAAGCCCCGGCUAACUACGUGCCAGCAGCCGCGGUAAUACGUAGGGGGCGAGCGUUGUCCGGAAUUAUUGGGCGUAAAGGGUUCGCAGGCGGCCUUUUAAGUCAGAUGUGAAAGCCCACGGCUUAACCGUGGUAAGCAUUUGAAACUGGAAGGCUUGAGUUAAGGAGAGGAAAGUGGAAUUCCUAGUGUAGCGGUGAAAUGCGUAGAUAUUAGGAAGAACACCAGUGGCGAAGGCGACUACCUGGUCGAGAACUGACGCUGAUGCACGAAAGCUAGGGGAGCAAACA